rnacentral:tRNA from 8 species
GGUUACUAACUGGACUCGAACCAGUAACACAGGGAUUACCACCCUCCGCUCUACCAUUGGCGUACAGCAAC